GACGAACGCUGGCGGCGUGCUUAACACAUGCAAGUCGAACGGAAAGGCCUGCUUUCCCUUGUGGAUUGCGGGUACUCGAGUGGCGAACGGGUGAGUAACACGUGAGUGAUCUUCCCCCAACUUUGGUAUAAGCCUGGGAAACUGGGUCUAAUUCCCGAUAGGACUGCAGGGUGGUGCCUGUGGUGGAAAACGAUUUUCUAGUGGUUGGGGAUGAGCUCGCGGCCUAUCAGCUUGUUGGUGGGGUAAUGGCCUACCAAGGCGGCGACGGGUAGCCGGCCUGGGGGGGUGGACGGGCACAUUGGGACUGAGACACGGCCCAGAAUCCUACGGGAGGAAGCAGUGGGGAGUAAUGAACAAUGGGCGGAAGCCUGAGGCAGCGACGCUGCGUGGGGGAUGACGGCCUUCGGGUUGUAACCUCCUUUCGACCGCGAGGAAGCCACCUGGUUGGAAGGGUGGUGACGGUAGUGGUAGAAGAAGCACCGGCUAACUACGUG
rnacentral:rRNA from 1 species